ensembl:lncRNA
UGCCUCCUCAAUACCAUGGUCUCUGCUGUGGUCAUAGCCCUUUGUAAGAUAAAACUCUCACUUGUAUCUUUUUAAAUGCUUCUUAAGCCUCUACCUGCCUUCUCAAUACCAUGGCCUCUGCUGUGGUCAUAGCCCUUUGUGAGAUCAGAUGGGUUUCUUGCUUCUCUUCUUGCCCUCUUCAACCCAUCUUCCAGAGCCUGUGGCUGUGGCUUCUCCUGCUUGCCUAGAGAAUGAAAUUCGGAUGGUUUGCCGCUGGCCCUUGACUCACUUUCCCAGCCUUCCCUCCAGUGGACUCUUUGCUGUGCUCUACUGCAGCUUCUCUGAGCUCACUUACAUCCUCUGGACAUGCCAAACAUUUCAUAUUAUUCCUUACCUGUACCCAUACCUCUAUUCAGCUCACUAUCUUACAGAAACUUUACAAAAUCCUCCUAGGCAGAAGUAAUCACUUCUGCAUCUGUACUUCAGAUGUGAAGGAUCCAUUGUAGUAUUUAUCGUUUGAUUAUGGUUAUUAACUUNNNNNNNNNNNNNNNNNNNNNNNNNNNNNNNNNNNNNNNNNNNNNNNNNNNNNNNNNNNNNNNNNGGAUUUAUUUUCAACUUAAAAUGAGAUGAAGAUUUUAGGAUGCCAGAAUCUCACAGAAUUGGCUUGGUUGUUUUUUUUUUUUUUUUUUUUCAAUCAGACAGAGUUCUUAGUUUCAAGCAGUAUAACCAACUCUAGCUCGUUCAAGCAAGAAAGGGAUGAAUUGAAGACUGUUGGGUUACUUGAAGAUGUCCUGAGGGGUCCACAGAGACAGAUGUUGGGUAAUCCUGAAGCAGGAAACUGAAAGUGAAAUUCGUGCAGUUGUGUCCCACUCUUUGAGACCCCAUGGACUAUAUACAGUCCAUGGAAUUCUCCAGGCAGAAUACUGGACUGAGCCUUUCCCUUCUCCAGGGGAUCUUCCCAACCCAGGGAUCAAACCCAGNNNNNNNNNNNNNNNNNNNNAUUCUUUACCAGCUGAGCCACAAGAGAAGCCCAAGAAUACUGGAGCGGGUGGUCUAAAUACUGGCAUGGGUGGUCUGUCCCUUCUCCAAUGGAUCUUCCUGACCCAGGAAUCAAACUGGGAUCUCCUGCAUUGCAGGAGCAGAAUAUGAGAAGCAGGAGCAAUACAGAAACUCUCUGCAGGGAACCAACUUGCCACCACCGCGAUGUGUGCAUUCCUUCAGAUGCACCCCCGGGACCCCGAGCCUGACACUAGGCUCAGCUGCUCCCUCUGGAAACUCCCAGCACUGCCACCACCUCAGCCAAAAUGGGUUCUCUGAAGUCCACUUUGCCUUAAGGCCUGACAGGAGUCGAGCUCCAUCUGAUUGGUUGAGCCUAGCUGCAAGGGAGGCUGGGAAAAUGAGCAUGUGUCUCCCAUGUGGUUGUUGGUCUCCAUCUCUCACUAAGAGCCAUGAGGUAGGGAAAUCCCCAGACAAGAAAGUUAGCUCACAUGUUGGGGGUUAGGAUGGGGGUGAGGGAUUUAAGGAAGGUGCAAAAAGAGUGGCAUAUGUCCACUAGAAUUUUCAAGACACAGAGAACCUAAUUAAGAGCUUCCUUUGUUGGUAUAUCUGAAUCUUAACAACAGAAACAACAACAACAAAAAAUGGCAUGAUCAAAUUGGGUAAUUGGAGGAGGAAUGAAUAAAGGAUGGGCAGGGUAUAGAGCAGUACCUCUGGGCUAAUAACAGUUGUCACCACCCCAGGUCUGAAGGAGCACUCUCUGACUAGAGCCAAGACCCCGUAAGAGAUGCCGUCUGCCCUGGACAAGCCCUCAGGGAGAGAGCCAGAGGUGUAAAAGCCUCAACUCUCCCCCUUCCUUUCCUGCUGAGGCUCCCACUGGCACCACACAGAAACCAGCCCCCCGCAGAGCCCAUUCAGGCUGUUCUCAAGCAUCAGCCGUGAGGGCACCAAGCACGCUGGUGAAGGGUGAGAGCACAGCUGAAGACAUGCAGCACAUGAAGCUUAGUCAAUACGUCACCAGCAUUUUUCUUUUCACUUUACUCAAUGUCUCCUUUGGGAUGUCACUGUACACGCCAGCCUUAAAAAGUGUCCUCAUAUUGAGAAGGAAAUUUCCUGCCACAGCAAAUUUCCUGCUACUUGCUAGCCUCUGUCUCCUCCUCAUUAAAAUCUAGCCUUCUAAAGAAAGUAGGUGUAAGAAUUGUCUUUGAAAUGAGUCCCAUGCCCCUCAAGAAUUUGUGCAGUGUAACCCAUAAUCCUUUUGAAG